GAUGAACGCCAGCCGCCGGCUUAACACCUGCCAGUUCAGGGGCAGCCUAAUGGUAACCAUACUAUUGAUGGCGACCGGCGGAACGGUUGCCUAACGCGUAUGCCACCUACCCUUUACAGGGGGAUAACACUGAGAAAUCGGUACUAAUACCCCAUAAUAUUCUGGGAGGCAUCUUUCGGAGUUUGAAAGCUUUGGUGGUAAAGGAUGGGCAUGCGUUGUAUUAGCUAGUUGGUAAGGUAACGGCUUACCAAGGCGACGAUACAUAGGGGGACUGAGAGGUUAACCCCCCACAUUGGUACUGAGACACGGACCAAACUCCUACGGGAGGCAGCAGUGAGGAAUAUUGGUCAAUGGACGGAAGUCUGAACCAGCCAUGCCGCGUGCAGGAAGACGGCUCUAUGAGUUGUAAACUGCUUUUGUACGAGGGUAAACGCAGAUACGCGUAUCUGCCUGAAAGUAUCGUACGAAUAAGGAUCGGCUAACUCCGUGCCAGCAGCCGCGGUAAUACGGAGGAUUCCAAGCGUUAUCCGGAUUUAUUGGGUUUAAAGGGUGCGUAGGCGGUUUAGUAAGUCAGCGGUGAAAUUUUGGUGCUUAACACCAAACGUGCCGUUGAUACUGCUGGGCUAGAGAGUAGUUGCGGUAGGCGGAAUGUAUGGUGUAGCGGUGAAAUGCUUAGAGAUCAUACAGAACACCGAUUGCGAAGGCAGCUUACCAAACUAUAUCUGACGUUGAGGCACGAAAGCGUGGGGAGCAAACAGGAUUAGAUACCCUGGUAGUCCACGCAGUAAACGAUGAUAGCUCGUUGUCGGCGAUACACAGUCGGUGACUAAGAGAAAUCGAUAAGCUAUCCACCUGGGGAGUACGUUCGCAAGAAUGAAACUCAAAGGAAUUGACGGGGGCCCGCACAAGCGGAGGAACAUGUGGUUUAAUUCGAUGAUACGCGAGGAACCUUACCCGGGCUUGAAAGUUACUGACGAUUCUGGAAACAGGAUUUCCCUUCGGGGCAGGAAACUAGGUGCUGCAUGGUUGUCGUCAGCUCGUGCCGUGAGGUGUCGGGUUAAGUCCCAUAACGAGCGCAACCCCUACUGAUAGUUGCCAUCAG
rnacentral:rRNA from 1 species